UCGGCCCCUCCCCGUGACGCCCACGGUUCGGUGGAGAAAUGCACGCGACCCAGAUGCUGGGCUCUGAGUAGGUCGGCUUGGAGACUCCUGGGUUCGUAGGAGGCUGGAGAUGGGUUCAUGUUGUCUGUGCCCUGUAUGUUCCUGUAGUAGCCUUUGGAGAUACUGACAGAUUAUGACCAGCAACACUAACAGAAAUGAACUAUUCCAAAUAUGGUGUCAAGAGACAGAGUCUCACUACGUCUCUAAGGCUGCAGUGCAGUGGCUCGAUCCCAGCUCAUGGCAACCUCUGCCUCAUGAGUUCAAGCAAUUCUCCUGCCUCAACCUCCGGAGUAACUGGGAUUACAGGCACACACUAUCAUGCCAAGCUAAUUUUUGUAUUUUCAGUAGAGGUGGGGUUUCAUCAUGUUGGCCUGGCUGGUCUCAAACUUCUGACCUCAGGUGAUCUACCUGAGUCAGCUUCCCAUGCAUUAUUGUUGAGUGAUGAAAUGCUUACUAGGAAUCAUUCUAUUUAACACUAAUCAUAUAUUAUUGAUAGUAGUUUUCCCAGAAAACCAAUAUAGUAUAAAUUCUUGUAUACAUUUUUUUUUUUUUUUUUUUUUUGAGAUGGAGUUUUGCUCUUGUUACCCAGGCUGUAGUGCAAUGGCGCGAUCUCGGCUCACCACAACCUCCACCUUCUGGGUUCAAGCAAUUCUCCUGCCUCAGCCUCCUGAGUAGCUGGGACUACAGGCAUGCGCCACCAUGCCCAGCUAAUUUUUGUAUUUUUAGUAGAGACGGCGUUUCACCAUGUUGGCCAGGAUGGUCUCGAUCUCUUGACCUCAUGAUCCACCUGCCGCGGCCUCCCAAAGUGCUGGGAUUAUAGGCGUGAGCCACCGCACCCGGCCUUAAAUUCAUUAGAUCUUAAAGCUAUAGAAUAAGCCUUGUUGACUCAGUCCCAUCUCAAGGACUCACUGGGGUAGGGGUACCACCUCUAUGAUUUUGCUGGGAGUCCUUCCCCUACAACUCUGCUAGGAAGGUCAUGCCCCCAAGGUUCUGGGUGGCCUACUUUUCAAGGUCUGGCCAGGGGCUGUCUUGCCUCUUGAAAACAAAGUAGUGGCCCCACACUUUGAAACCAAGGAGACAGGCCUGAUGAUCUCUGAAGUGUCAUCAGAAUCAUUCUUCCCUUUUUGGGAGAAUGGUGCAGGUUUGCAGCUGAAUAGCUCUAUGGUACUUUCUCAUAUAAUCAAAGAAAUCCAAUCUUUCUGACUUCUCACUAGAAGUCAGAAAGAAUAUAGGGGCAAAUAAAAAUGGAAAGAAUGGUGAAGUUUUAUAUUUUUGAGUAUGAAACAGUAAUAAAAACCAAACAGUUAAUACCACCAACAAUAAUUAUAUUAUGGUUUGGAGUAAGUGUGAAAUGCCAUGACUUCAUAACAAAGUUAAAUGAAAAAUGUUAAUAUGAUAAAAAAUAUAGCUGUAAUUGCAAAUAAGGAAACCAUAAUAAAGAUACAUUUUAUUCAUCAAUUUAUCAUUUAUUAACAACUUGAAAAAGUAAAAGCCAAGAUACAAGGAUAUUUUGUUUUUCCCACUGCUUUUAAUUUUAAUGUCUAUAUACAAGGCUUAGAUAUUUAGUAGUUUUAAUUUGUUUAAGGUGGAAAGAAAAAAACACACACAAAGAAAUAUAGGACAAAUUCUCCUGGAGAACCACACCCAAGAGAGGAACAUUAGCACUGAUGGUAACUCAAGAUAAAAAGGUAGAAUGGGAUCCAAGAGGAAAUUAGCUGUGUUGUCACAUAAAUAGAGUUUGGUUAGAAAUAAAGCUAGUGGCCAGGCAUAGUGGCUCACUCCUGUAAUCCCAGCUCUUUGGGAGGCUGAUGUGGGCAGAUCAUCUGAGGUUGGGAGUUUUAGAUGAACCUGACCAACAUGGAGAAACCCCAUCUCUACUGAAAAUACAAAAUUAGCCAGGCAUGGUGGCAGGCACCUGUAAACCCAGCUACUUGGGAGGCUUAGGCAGGAGAAUCAUGUGAACCCAGAAGGUGAAGGUUACAAUGAGCCAAGAUUGUGUCAUUGCACUCCAGCCUGUCUCAAAAAGAAAAAACUGUCUCAAAAAGAAAAGAAAUAGAGCUAGUACUCUAUUUGAAAGAUAUGAAAUACCAAAUAUCCUAACAAAAGGGUUAACAUACUCUUGUUCUUACUGUGUAGGACAUGAAACAACAACCAAUUAUGUAUCUUUUAAAACUACUUGAAUAAGCAAUACUUACGUAAAACAUAGCUCAAUGUAUCAGUUGAGAAAAUGUAUAUUAGUACUGGUAAUCAUUCAGACCUUUAUAGAGUACAUAAAUUCUGGGAAAGACACCAGUUCAAAAAUUAAAAUGUAAUGAAUGAUCGUGACAUAAAGUCAUCUGAACAAGAUAGUUAAAUUUUCUUACAAAAAUCUAAUAACCAGUGGCUCAUGAUCUCAUUGACUGCAUAACCAAUUCAGCUGUCCUAAGAGAGAGAUGAUUUUGUAGUUAAAUGAGAUUAUUUAAACCAAAGAAGGUCUGCUGAUUGUUGAAAUGUCCAAACCUAGUAAGGCAACUGAGAGGAAAUAAAAAGAAAAAAUAAUGAUAAUAGAUUAAAACACAAUUGAAGCCAUGUUAAUAUAUAGUUGUAAAUCCUCUUAAUGUAAGUUCAGUUGUCAUUUUUUCUCCCCUUUUAAAGGUGUUUGACAUAUUUAAGAGUGAUAAUUUAAUAGAAUGAUAUAUUUUCUAAUUUUUUUUUUGAGACAGGGCUUCACCAUGUUGGCCACGCUGGUCUUGAGCUCCCAACCUCAGGUGAUCCACCCACCUCGGCCUCCUGAAGUGCUGGGAUUACAGGCAUGAGCCACCACAUCUGGCCCUAGAAUGAUAAAAUUUAAGAGACUUAUUGGGUGAGUAAUUUUAGGGAUUACAGGUGUGAGCCACCACGUCUGGCCCUAGAAUGAUAAAAUUUAAGAGACUUAUUGGAGCCAUGAUUGACAUAUGGGAUGAAGAAAUAUAAUCAAGAUGAAAUGUGUUAUUUACUUCUCUUCAAUAGCGUAUGUAUCCUUACUCUGCUGUCCUCCUAAAACUUCCAUUUAUUCUUUUAUGCUCUUUUACAGAUAUUCCUUUCCAUUUUCUUAUACCCGAAGUCAACUAAUGCUGGUGCUUCCCAAAAAUAUUAUAAUAUUUCAGAUAUUAGAAUUAUAUCUGAAUAUAAUUAUAACCACUGUUAGACUUACACAGUUCUGAGCAAGGGCUCAUGAGUGAAAAGGAGAAUAUGCUAACAGAAUCAUAUGAAGAAGGUGGUCUAGGUAGAUAAGAUUUUAGGGCACUUUGUAAUGAAAGAUUUUAUGGAUAUCAUCUGGAGGACGACAAUGAGAAGGGAAUGCCUGGGGAAAACUCAGUGACAGAUAAACACUGUAUGGUAAGAGGCAAGAGUUAUUUCCCAUGACUGAAUUAUAUAUAAGAAAGAUUAAAUAAUGCAGGCAUCAAUAUCUGCCUAAAACAUUAAAACCAGAUUUGAGUGACAGUAUCACUAAGUCAAAAGUACUUUCAGCUAGAUAUAAAGAAGCUCUCUACUAGGCCAGGUACAGUGGCUCACCCCUCUAAUCCCAGCAGUUUGGGAAACCGAGGUACGCGGAUCACUUCAGGUCAGGAGUUCCAGCACAGCCUGGCCAACACGACAAAACCCCAUCUCUACUAAAAAUACAAAAAAAAAAAUUAGCUGGGCAUAGUGGUGCAUACCUGUAAUGCCAGGUACUUGGGAGGCUGAGGCAGGAGAAUCACUCAAACCCAGGAGAUACAGGUUGCAGUGAGCUGAGAUUGCAGCGCAGCACUGUACUCUAGGCUGGGCAACAGAGUGAGACUCUGUCUCAAAAAAAAAAGAAGCUCUCUACUAAAUAACUGUUGAGUCAAUGUGGAAAUGUAAUUGAAAUCACAAAAUCUGUAGAGAACCAUGAUGUUGAAAACAUUUCUAACUGACAUCUAUGGAAUGCUAAUAUAUUUGUCUCAUAAAAAGUAAAGAUUUAAA